UUGACCUCGGAUCAGGUAGGAAUACCCGCUGAACUUAAGCAUAUCAAUAAGCGGAGGAAAAGAAAACCAACAGGGGAUUGCCUUAGUAACGGGCGAGUGAAAGCGGCAAACAGCUUAAAAUUUUGAAAAUCUGGGCCCUUGGGGUCCCGAAAUUUGUAAUUUGUAAAAGAAUGAAUUUUGGUGCGGGUAUCUUUCCAAGUUUCCUUGGAACAGGACGCCUUAAAGGGUGAGAACCCCGUACGGUUGAUGCCUAAGCUCCUGUAAUCUCCUUCGACAAUCGAGUUGUUUGGGAAUGAAA
rnacentral:rRNA from 1 species